rnacentral:lncRNA from 10 species
UUGCCGCCCCUUCCGUGUGCACGUGGAGGCCGGGGUGGGGCGGGGCAGGCGCAGCCCGGGCUGAGCUUGCAGGGCUGCUCCACUCACCCAACCUCUUCGAGUCCUCCGCGGGCUCCGCCCCACCCGGCUAGUGGGGGAGGUUCUGUCCCGCAGCCUUCGCGGGCGCGCUGCUCUCGGGGACGGUUCCUGCUGGCGUUGGGCGCACCAUGGCGCGCUGGGCUGCUGCUCCUCGGCCUGCUCCGCCCUCUGGUGGCCGCCCCUGGGGCUGACUUUGACUUAGCAGAUGCCUUUGGUGGUGGAGGAAACAGUGACCCAGCACCGCCUGAUCCCCCAAACCAAAGCCAGAUCCAAGCCCCAACCGACCUGGUUUCACUGAUAAGAGCCUCUAACCCUCCGGGUGGUCUCUAUGUCGUUUACCCGGCAGUGAUGUUCAUGUCAUCUGAGAAGAGGAGAUUUCAGGGGCUGACUUGGACUUCGCAGAUGCCUUUCAUGGUGGAGGAAAUCACAGUCACAAUUGCAACUUUCAUUGUCACAAAGAGAUGAACCAGCACCUCCUAAUUCACCCAAGCCGAAGCCAAAUGCAAACCCUAAGCAACCUGGAUUCAUUGGUAAGUGCUUCUCACUCUAUGGGUUGUCUGUAUAUUGUCCAUAGUAGAGUGGCAUCCACGUCAGCUGGACGAGAGGCUUUCAGAUGAGCAUGUGCUUGCUAUUAACUCUGUACAGAGUUAUUCCAUUGGGCAGGGAGGGAAGUACACAGUUUUCUGAAAUAGAUAUUUGACUUCAUUUUAUUUUUAGUUUGCUGAUUUUACUUCCAAGACUGUAUGGAACUUCUAAAACACUGAGCACAAGAUUUUCAUAUGAACUUGGUAUAGAGAAAAUGGCCUGUGCAUUCCCUGUAGAGAAACUUGGGUGUUUUCAGUGUUUUUGCUCUUGAAUAUUUGUAUCAGCUAUUUUGACACAUGAGAGCAUUCUCAGGGUAAUCUGACUAGCAACUGGUUUUUGAAGUGAAUUGUUGUGAAACAUUCAGGGUUUUAGUUUUGUUUUUUUUAAUUUUUAACACAGAAUCAUAAAUAAUGUGCCUGCGCUCUUGGCAUUUUGAUGGUUAUUUACACUUAUAUUUUAUAUAUCAGUUUAAAUGAAGCAAAUGUUAAGUAAUAAAGCCAGUCUUUUGUUCAUACUGCACUGUAACAU